AGUCCGGAGGCUGCAGGCUGAGGAGAGCUCACCCUGCAAACACUUCCCCUCGCUGGGGAGGUCGUUUCAGGGCUCCCCGACGCCUCUGGCCAUUUGGCCGGAAGGACCGAAAGAAUGCUGAAGAUGACACCGAGAUGGAGCUGGUGGACAUGCCUUCCUCUCCAGGAGCAGGGACAGGGCAUCACCUGGGAAGGCUUCCAACUCCACCCAGGCCACUGUCCCCAGUAACCAUUCACUCAGUGAGUGUGAUCCAGGAGCUGAAGACCACAGAUGCUGAACCCAAGGCUGCUCCACCAUCUGAGGAACUAGAGCCGGCUCCAAGGACUUCAGAGGCUCU